GAAGUCGGUCGGAUGGCCGCCGGUUCGCUUUUGGCGGACGGGAGGAAAGUCCGGACUCCGCAGGGCAGGGUGCUGGGUAACGCCCAGGGAGGGUAACCUCACGGACAGUGCCACAGAAAAGAUACCGCCCACGCUGCACCAUCGGCCGCAUGGCCCCGUGGGUAAGGGUGAAAAGGUGCGGUAAGAGCGCACCAGCGGCAUGGUGACAUGCCGGCUUGGCAAACCCCACUCGGAGCAAGGCCAAAUAGGUCCCGCCCCAUUCGGCAGAGAGCGGCCCGCUCUCGUGCUCCUUCAGGGGCAGGCGGGACGGGUAGGCUGCUUGAGCCCGGCGGUAACGCCGGGCCUAGAGGAAUGGUCAUCCGGUUGGUCCGCAAGGUCUGGCCGUACAGGAUCCGGCUUACAGACCGACUUCGGCC
rnacentral:RNase_P_RNA from 1 species